AGGAGAGUAGAGCGAUAGGGAGGAUGAAAAGAGGAGAUGGGGACAAAAUUAAAGCUAUGCAGAGGGGGCAAAAGGAAAUGAAGGCUUUCAAAAAGGAAAUCGGCACGAGCCGCAGAUGGGGAGAUUUAACCACCACCACCCCGGAAAGAUGCAGACUAUUCUGAACGGAUAGAGCAAAACAGCGGGUGCACCGUUACAGCAGGCGAGAGCAGAGAUGAGGCAAGGCCAACGGUGAAUUACAGCUCGCUGCUCACCACUGACAGAUAGCGGAGAGGGGAAAGAUGCUCAGGGGCUCAUCCCCACCCCCGCGGCCCCGCAGAAGGGCCGGGGCAGCUGCCACGGAGCCCCCACCAGCAGCCGCCGCCCGCUGCGCGUGGGGAGAGCGGGGCAGCCAGCCCCAGCCGGCGCCUCGGAAAUAAAGUUUGCAGCCGCUGCAGUGCCGGGCGCGCCCGCCGCAGCGAGAGAAACCUGCGGAGGAGCAAACGCCGAACAGGCUACAUGUGCAGGGUGGGGGAGAAAGAAAGAGAAUCAAUCUAUGCAGUAAAUGCUACAUUAAUUCCUUUUUACAUCUCCAAUUCUGCAGAGUUGUAAACUGACAUGGGGACCAGACGAAUACAUCAAGCAAGCUGCCUUCAACCCUUGGACCCGCAAUCUGACAUGCAUGCUAUAAAUCAGGGAAGUAACUCGUAUUGAUUUGUAUUAGCAUUGCUGACAUUUCUCUCAGCAAGUUUCAGGUGACAUUUCCCCUCUCUUGACAAACUACAAAUUCAUGUGUUUUGU